rnacentral:rRNA from 1 species
CGUUGAUUACGUCCCUGCCCGUUGUACACACCGCCCGUCGCUACUACCGAUUGAAUGGCUCAGUGAGGCUUUCGGACUGGCCCAGAGAGGUCGGCAACGACCACUCAGGGCCGGAA